UGGAGGGGAAGGGAGGGGAGGAGGCAGGGCAGGGGAGGAGGCAGGGGAGGAGCCUCGCCUCAGCUGGUGAGGACCAGGGUGGAGGGCCAUGGCAGGGAGCAGCAAGAUGUCCCCUGCGUGAGACCCGCGUCGGGAUGUGCUGUGUCGCCUGAGAGACAGGAAACCAAGCCUCGCCCGCAACAUGGCUCUCUGAAAAUCUGACUCC
rnacentral:lncRNA from 1 species